UGCAGUUGAUCAAAAUGUUGCUGCUCAGCCUU
rnacentral:piRNA from 1 species